rnacentral:misc_RNA from 1 species
GUUUAUAAAAUUCAUAUUGGAGUUCAGAUGAACAACAAAAAGAUUCAGACGUAAAUGUGUGAGGUAUAUGUAGCAGUGGUCACACUGGGAGAAUUAACCCCAGUUGCUCCAACUGCUCACUGACGAAACGGUACUAGCUUACCCCACGAGAUUCGUCUCAAAAUUACUUGAAACAUGACCCGAGCUCCCAGCUUUCCGGUUAUCGCAGUGUUAGUUAUUUUUUUAUAAAGGUGGGGAACAAUACCACCUGUUACUAUAAUGAUCCUUCCGCAGGUUCACCUACGGAAA